rnacentral:lncRNA from 1 species
UUCCAUGUGUAUUAUCAUUGCGAGCGUUGACAACUUCAGGAGGUUCCGCCGACAUAUAUUUCUCCCCAUCCACCCACAUAUCAUAAUAAAAACCAGACUGAGGAGUUAGCAGUGCAGCAAUGUUGUCAGCAGUUUGUUGCGCAAAGAGGUAGUCUUUUCUGACUAGAGGGGCAGAAGGAGCAAGGACAUUCCUAUUGAGAUCGCCACACGCACCUAGAGUUGAACCCAUGCUUUUUAUGAUAGUGCUCAUGACCGUCUUAAGGUUUUGCUUCAUAACACCAUGGAGCUGAAACGUCUGUCUGGUAGUGAGACGAAGU